CUACAGUUAAUUCCACAGGAUCACCUAUCAAAAUCUACCAUUUUCCUUCUAUGCUGCACUUGACAAAUGCACCCCUCAGCUGCUGAAGCUCUAUAAAAAGAGGAAGACAUGAAGUUUUGGUGAGAAGAUGGACGAAGUUUUGAUGGCAUUUGAGGAACAGGACAAGAACAACAUUACUUUGUCUAAAAAUCUACAAAGUAAUGUAAUGGCUGGCCUACCACUGUACCUAAAGGAGAAUUCAUCAGAGAUGAUUUGGAGGCAAUCCAGGAGGGAGCACUGGCUCUGUUGGCAGUGGUCAAUGAAGAGGAGGUGCCUGCAGGAGUGUCCUUCGAAACUCACCAUGUAUCAAUCGUCCUCGAGGAUCAGGUUGUAAUGACUCACAUAUCUUGGACAGAUUCACUGGUGAUUUUGUUUGGACUGAUCUAUGCUGUCCAUGUGAGCUAGCCAGGAGAAGCUAAGUGGCUUCUUUGAAUUCAUCCAGGUAGUCCUCUUAACCCUUGAUGAUGGCCUUGAAAUGAGCUAGAGUAAAGGUGUCAUCAGCUUCUGUUGUUAAAAGGGCAGCUGCAGUGAUUUGAAAAUUAUCCAUUGGCUUGCAUGCCAAAAACUGCUUUCAGUUUUGAUUUUUGGGUUGAAACAGCUACUUAGUUAGUUGGCUUUCUAUUUCAGAUGUAGUGAGAAACACAAGCACAAAUUAAUAGUGUUGUAUUGCUUUCAGUUUAAAGGUAUUUUUGUGCCAGUACAAAAAUGAUGUACCAUUAUUGAACAAUCAAUAUUUGACCUCAGCUGGUAUGACAUACACAUUUUUACACUACAUAGUGUUUAAAAUGAGUCUAGCUGUGUAUACUAAUGUCAAAAUCUUAGUAUUAAACCUCACUUCACACAUACAACAAAUAUACUGUCAAGAGUUUCUCUAAAUUUCUUUUAACUGUUGUGAGGUUAAUUUUUCUUUCUUGUGUUGCCUCACAAAUUGCAAAUUGUUAAUUGGUACAACCUUUGCCAGAACAGUGUAAUACAGUUGUUUGGAACAUUGUGAGAUGGUGCACUGUCAUCACUAAUCUAAAAUAACUAUACAUUUGUUCUUGAACAAUCUUGAAUUGCAACUUUUUGUUAAUGGGUAUUUCAAACUUUGCAAUUUGAAACAUACUAGUAUACAGUAGCACACUUGAUGUGACAUGCACAAACAAUACAGUUGCAAAUAACUUCAUAGGGUUUAAGUUUCUCUGCAUAUCUGCACUGUUUCUGUGGUUUCUUCACAAUUUCUGCAUUACAUCAUGGGAAUAACAAUAUGCAACUCUUUCAUAGUUUUUCCAACAUAUACACUUUCUUACUUUUGAGAGCUGUGGACAUUGAAAUGUGUUAACAUUGAUAUGUUAAAUAUUUAGUCAUGAGUAAUCAGCAUUCAACUAAAUAAAUAGUUUAAGUUGUGUCAGU